rnacentral:rRNA from 1 species
UACGUAGGGUGCGAGCGUUAAUCGGAAUUACUGGGCGUAAAGCGUGCGCAGGCGGUUUUGUAAGCCAGAUGUGAAAUCCCCGGGCUUAACCUGGGAAUGGCAUUUGGGACUGCAAGGCUCGAGUGCGGCAGAGGAGACUGGAAUUCCUGGUGUAGCAGUGAAAUGCGUAGAUAUCAGGAGGAAUACCGAUGGCGAAGGCAGGUCUCUGGGCUGACACUGACGCUCAUGCACGAAAGCGUGGGGAGCAAACGGG